UCCCUGGUGGCUUAGUGGUGAAGAAUCUGCCAGCAAUGCAGGAGACUCAGGUUUGAAUCCUGGGUCGGGAA
rnacentral:tRNA from 1 species